rnacentral:rRNA from 1 species
GUGGAUUAGAUACCCUGGUAGUCCACGCCGUAAACGAUGGAUACUAGCUGUUCGGUAGCAAUACUGAGUGGCUAAGCGAAAGUGAUAAGUAUCCCACCUGGGGAGUACGUUCGCAAGAAUGAAACUCAAAGGAAUUGACGGGGGCCCGCACAAGCGGUGGAGCAUGUGGUUUAAUUCGAUGAUACGCGAGGAACCUUACCAAGGCUUAAAUGUAGAUUGACAGGACUGGAAACAGUUUUUUCUUCGGACAAUUUACAAGGUGCUGCACGGUCGUCGCCAGCU